GGUUGCUUUCUAAAAUUACACUUUUCUGUAGAUAUAUAGUUAGAAACAUUUAAACUUCGAAUGUUGUCUUAUUUCACAGGAACAACUUCCCCACCGACUGUGUUCCCUCUGCAUCAGUGUGAUUCUGGGGCUGGAAAUCAGGUCACUCUUGGUUGUCUCGCUCAUGGCUUCAACCCAGGGAGUCUUACUUUCACGUGGACCAACGACAAAGGGACCAGUCAGGAUUCUCAACAAUAUAUUUUAUCAGAUAACAACACAUAUACAGGAGUCAGUGUGAUCAGUGUAUCCAGAUCUGAGUGGGAUUCUUCCGCUUUUGAAUGUUCUGUGACUCAUCCUGGAGGGAACAGAAGUGCACAAGUGCGCCAGUUGGAAGGUGGAACAAAGUUAGAUGUGACAGUUCACAUCCUUCCAAAAGAGUACAUUGGAAAUGACAAGUCAGCUGAGGUCACUCUGAUGUGUCUGGUCUACAGUCCUGUGCAGCAGCGAUACCACAUCACCUGGAAUGAAGAUGGUGGAGUCUUCACUGAUGGCAUCAACUUCCCUCCUCAGAAGACCACCAAUGGCUACUUAGCUACAAGUCUUUACAGCCCCACCAGGGAAAAGUGGGAAGCGAGCAAGAUAUUCCACUGCAACGUCAGGUCUCGUGGUGGCAAUCAGUUUUCGAAACCUCAAGGAGUGUCUAAGGCCACGGAUUGUUCUUUAAAGUCAGAAUCAGGAUUUGCUGUGAACUGCACAGACGGUGUCACUGAAGAGGAUGAGUUCAGCAGCCUGUGGUUCACAUCCUCCUCCUUCAUAGUCCUCUUCAUAUUCUCUCUCCUCUAUAGCAUCAUAUUCAGCCUGAUCAAGGUCAAGAAACACUAAAAGAUGGAUUGGAAGCAUCUAUCUAUCUAUCUAUCUAUCUAUCUAUCUAUCUAUCUAUCUAUCUAUCUAUCUAUCUAUCUAUCUAUCUAUCUAUCUAUCUAUCUAUCUAUCUAUCUAUCUAUCUAAAUAUGCUUUCCUGUGUGCUGUAUUUAAUAACGUACUUACUGUAGACAGCAGGUUUGUAAAUUGUAAGACAAAAUAAUUUAAAAAUGAAAAAAUGAAGAAA